ACAGGUUCUUACAAACAUGAAAUUGAAAACUGUUUUCUCUCUCUCUCUUUUUCUCUUUCUUUCAUAGCUAUUUGAGGCUCCCCUAAGACCAAAUUCCACACCCAGUGCCCUGGGCAACUGUUCAGAUUUCCUGUAAGGCUGAGUGGCUCAUAAAAGAGCAGAAGUUGAACAUCAGAUAUCUCCCUUUUUCUUCUCUCAUUGAACAGUAGUACAAACAUGAAUUAAGAGACCAAAUGGAUAUUUAGAAAAUAAUUAAAUUUAGGAAGAGAGGUUUGUGAAGAAGCUCAGCAAGCAGUGAAGAUUGUUUCAGGAGAAAUUCAACUGCAGGUUAGAGUGGAUGAAAGAGGGCAUCUCUGGACUCUACUGGUCUCAAAUAAGAGCAUGUUUCACUUAGUUCUUUGCUAUAAGAUGUAAAAGAUAAUCCAGAUUCACUGAGUUGUUGUACCAAAAAGAAAGAGACAAAAGGAAACUGUUAUGAAAGGUGCAUAGAAAAGUCUAAGAUGUUACAUAAAAUCAGACAAAACCUUCCUGAAAUGAUUAGGCAAAAGUAGAACAUCCAGAUUUGUCUUGCUGCCAAAUUCCUGGAUAAUUCAAACCUUAGUCAUCUGAUCUUGAAUUACAGAACAUGUUCAAACUCCAUUGGAGUUCACUACAUUUAACUUAGUCCAGCAUGUCACAGACCUAGGUAGAAAUUAAAUAACAUCUUAUUAUAGGUACUUUCUUGCCACUGUUUAGUCCUUGUCUUCUGAAGAUCUGUAACCGUCUAGUGAAGCACCUACAAUUUCCACUGACUUCAGUCUAAACUUUGCUGCACAGCUCAUGUGGGAUCUGGACCAAAUAUGGUGAAAAGAAUAAAAAGUUUUCUACAGAUCAUGGUUGGGAUAUUAUUCUAGUUUCUAUAAAAUAAAUACUAUGACUAGAAAAAAGAUUGCUGUAUUUCCAUGUGUCCUGGAUUGGAAAGGAAAGCAACUGCUGAGGUCCUGCAGUGAUAUGUAUUUUAUGAGUCAGACAAGAAAUUCAUUUCCAUGAAAAAUUAACUGAAGCUCGUUUUCCCACUUUAUAAAAAUUGUAUUUCUCUUAUAUUUCUAAGGAUAGGCAUUUCUACCUCCUGCCUCUACUUCCAACGAAACCAGUGGUUGAAGCAAUUGCUUUAAGGCCUUAUCCUGCUUUCAUUGAAUGGCAAAAACUGCCCUAUAGAUUUAUUGGCUUCAGCACCAAGCAGGGGAGUGUAGGAAUAUAAAUUCAGCUCUGAGCUGUGUCCAGAGAACUCCAGUUCCCCUCAGCAGUGUAGCAAUAAUAAAAUAUCCCCUCAUUUUAAUAAAACAUGAGUGCUAUUAAAAGAAAAGAUUCCAUGUAUUUUCUUAUCUCAGAACACAGGAUAUCUAGUUCUGUUUAUCCUUAGCAUGAACAAAUCUCUGUGAAUGCCUUAAAGUCACUUUUUUUCUACUGAAAAUAUGUACUUGUGGUUAACAGAAGACAAACAUCCAAGCAAUGGUUCUAUAGAUAGAAAUGUUCUUUCUGGCUCUAAAACAUAGCUUUAUCCCAAACACACCCUAUUUGUUAUUUAUUAUUGGAUAUUUUUGUUUCCUACCCAUUUUAGACCAAACUUUAACUCCAGGUGAUCACCUCACAAGCAAAAUAGUAUUAAAUGAAACCACAUGUCUUAAUGACUUACAGUGUACAUUACAUGGACUCAUGUUCAUUGUCCUCAAUAAAUACUAUUUGGAUUGUAUUAAAGUAUUUUCUUCCUUAAACUGUAAUCAUUAAAUUUGUUAUAACU